AUGCAAGCCUACAGAGAAUCCAUUGAAUCUCUUUGGUUACGUUAUAAGAGAAGUAGCAACUCUAUGCAUCAAGAGGACUGUGAGGCAUCUGUUUGUGAUUCUGUGGCUGAUGUACAUCAUGAAAAUACAUAUGAAGAGGAGGAAGGUGAAACAGGCACAUAUAUUUUACCUGGAACA